AGAACGAACGCUGGCGGCAUGCCUAAUACAUGCAAGUCGAACGAACUCUUCGGAGUUAGUGGCGCACGGGUGCGUAACGCGUGGGAAUCUGCCCCUUGGUUCGGAAUAACAGUUGGAAACGACUGCUAAUACCGGAUGAUGACGAAAGUCCAAAGAUUUAUCGCCAAGGGAUGAGCCCGCGUAGGAUUAGCUAGUUGGUGAGGUAAAGGCUCACCAAGGCAACGAUCCUUAGCUGGUCUGAGAGGAUGAUCAGCCACACUGGGACUGAGACACGGCCCAGACUCCGUACGGGAGCAGCAGUAGGGAAUA
rnacentral:rRNA from 1 species